rnacentral:rRNA from 1 species
GAUGAACGCUGGCGGCGUGCUUAACACAUGCAAGUCGAACGGAAAGGCCCAAGCUUGCUUGGGUACUCGAGUGGCGAACGGGUGAGUAACACGUGGGUGAUCUGCCCUGCACUUCGGGAUAAGCCUGGGAAACUGGGUCUAAUACCGGAUAGGACCACAUUUUGGAUGGUGUGGGGGAAAGUUUUUCUGUGUGGGUUGAGCUCGCGUGCUAUCAGCUUGUUGGUGGGAUAAUGGCCUACCAAGGCGUCGACGGGUAGCCGGCCUGAGAGGGUGUACGGCCACAUUGGGACUGAGAUAACGCCCAGACGCCUACGGGAGGAAGCAGUGGGGAAUAUUGCACAAUGGGAGCAAGCCUGAUGCAGCGACGACGCGUGGGGGAUGAGGGCCUUCGGGUUGUACACUCAUUUCGCUAUGGACGAGGCGUUAUGUGACGGUACCUGGAGAAGAAGCACCGGCUAACUACGUG